rnacentral:rRNA from 1 species
UACGUAGGGAGCAAGCGUUGUUCGGAUUUACUGGGCGUAAAGGGCGCGUAGGCGGCGCGGUAAGUCACUUGUGAAAUCUCUGAGCUUAACUCAGAACGGCCAAGUGAUACUGCAGUGCUAGAGUGCAGGAAGGGGCAAUCGGAAUUCUUGGUGUAGCGGUGAAAUGCGUAGAUAUCAAGAGGAACACCUGAGGUGAAGACGGGUUGCUGGGCUGACACUGACGCUGAGGAGCGAAAGCAUGGGGAGCGAACAGG